rnacentral:lncRNA from 1 species
UUUAUCUUGGUAUUUGGUGGUAUGUGUAAAUACUCUUUUAAACAUCACCCUAAAUGCUGCUGCUAAUUUCCAUGUCAUUGGGUCAUGUGACCAUGCAGGUAUGAGGACUAGAACAUAUAUUGGCUUGCUAUAUACAUUGGUAAUGUACUCGCCUGCUUCUGUCCUUACUUUGACAUCUAAAAAGUGGAAAGUCAUGUCACUUGUCUAUUCUACCCUAAGGGCCAGACCUAGUGUACUGUCUGCCAAGGCUAUAAGUGUCUAUAAGUUGUUGGUUCUAUAAAUUGGUAUCUGUAAAUUGUUGUUCUGCUGUUUACCUCUCCAAAUAACACAGAUAUCAUCUAUGUAUCACGUAAAUAACUUGAAUUCUGUCCAGAAAGACCCAAUAUUUCUGAAUUUAUAUUGUACAACUAAUUCUAUCAUGACUCCAGCCAGGGGCUCUCCGAUGAGUACUCCUCUGCUUUGUUUAUAAUACUUGCUUUGGAAGACAAAGUAUGAAUUAUAGAUCACAAGGUGGUUUAUCUCUCUAAGAAGGCCACAGUUGUUAUCGGAGUCAGGGAGGUUCUGUAGGAGGGACCUGUAGAGCAUGAGUGUUGCUGAGGCAUGUUUUGUCGAAGGGUAUAGGGAGUCAUAGUCAAUCACAGUAUAGCUUUCUUCCAGGAGUGGAUCAACUUCCAACAGACAGUCUAUGAAUUCAAGUGAUGAGCUAACCACAUAGGGGUAACCUUUCAGGUGGUGAAGGGCCCAGGCUGCAGUGGUUUUCUCUAGCUUGUAUAGUGGGAAGGGCUUCUUGUCUACCAUAGAUAACACAGAGAUUGGUGUUUUAUGGGCCUUUAUAUAGCCAAACAAUCUAGAGGCAUGUGGGCUUGUCAUUUCUUUUACUUUCCAGACAGUCGGGAAGCCUUUACGUUUCAAUAUUCUCGUAACUUUGCUAUGUAUUGCGUCCAUAGGGUCAGACAGUAACAAUUCUGAGUCUGACUGUACCACGAAGGAGACAGGAGUUCUGUAUACUCUUCUUUCUUUAUAAGGGCUGCCUUUUUAAUCUUAUUGUCCUUAGUACAUAUGAUGGAGUGAUCCUUCAUUCAUUUUUUGGUAUAUGUGAUUUGGGCAUUAUAUGCAUUACUUAACUUCCUCACUCUACGGUCCUUAUCUCUGUUCAUAACACGUUGCCACCUGACCUUUUCUCUAUAAAGUUCAUAAUAUUCUAACAGGAGCUGGUCAGUAUGGGGUGCCAUGUUACAUAUGCAUGGUAUAGCUUGGAGGACCAAGUAGGUUCUUUUAGUAGCAGGUCCUCCACUGGUUGCAAAACUUCUGCACCUCCAACUAUAACAGCAACAUCCUCUAUAGUUAGCUUCGGUGUACGGGGAUGGACUUAUUGUUUAAACAGGAUCUAUUUAAACUUUUUAACGUAUCUAAACCUUAUCUCUUGUCUAAAUGCAUGGAUGGCUAAUAGGAAAUCCUAGAUGGCUAGCUGGAUAUUAUGUCUGUAUUUCAUUACUAUAGAGCACUCCAUAUGGCGUGUCUUCUUUUUAGUAGCGUAGAAGUUUCUCCUAGAAUCUGCAAGUGCAAACUUCAGGCAUCUCUACUUGACCUGUCUUUCUGUCCUUCUUGAUCUAACUGGUAAGUGUAUUUGAUAAAUGGACAUCGGAAACACAUCGUUAAGCACACAUUCUUUUAGAAAAUGUAUUUGUUCAUCUGUCCUAACUAACUUUCUAUUCAGUUGAAGAAACUGUCUCUUUUCACAUAAAUCCAUCGCUGGCUCAGCUUAUGAGUCAAAUACAUAUAUAAACCACUUGUUCUUAAUGUAUCAACUUUCGUAAGUGAGACAAGCACUAUUAAC